CCUGUUACACUGGACUAAGGACUUUUAAUUCAGAACAACAAAGAACAAAUGCAGUCAGAAUACUUCCCUUUAAUUAAAGGGCACGCCAUCUUUCUACUCGCCUAAGGGCACUAUUUGGCUCCCAUAUUAUUUAACCUUAAUUUGACUAGGCACUUGCCUAGUCAGUUAAUUAAGAACAAAUUCGGAUUUACAAUGACGGCCUACUUCAGUUGGCUAUAUAUCAAUAAUAUCACUCAUGCAUGUUACACAAUGUUAAACAAAAGCAAGCUAGCUAAUAUGAUAGCAAUGCCUCCAUAGUCUUUGAUGAUAUUUAACUAAAGCUAGCUAGCUAAACGGUGGUGGCAUUUAGCUAUAGAAAGGUCGUUGCGUACGCAGUCGAACUAAAACAUAAAUAAUGGAUCAAUGCAGGAGAAUAUUUGGGAUUGGAACAUGUUUACAUUGUAACUACUAGCUAUAUCAAGAACAAUUGUCCUACAUUUUAAAGUAGUUACUUACUUAUAUCUUGUCAAAUGUGUCUACUUGCACAUGGCUGUGACGAGCAUAGGAAAAAGUUGAACCUGACGCUGUGUUCGUCGUCAUCAUACAUUAAAUGCUAUGUGUAGACUGUCAUUAAUUUGUGUGCUCUCAAAGGGGUGAGGUUGUGCACAACGUCAUUAAAUGGCGCCUUUGUUUUGCAAUCUUGCGGCUAGCAGUUAGCUCACCGGAGUACUGUGUACCGAAGUAUUUUAACGAAAUUUUAGAUGUCUAUUGACGUACUAUAUGUACAGUAAUCACCAGACGUGGAGUAGUUGAACUGUUCGCUGUCAGGCGAAAGUUUCUACCGAAUAGGGAGACCCAUGGAGUCUGCAGUGGAGAGUUCCCCCAUUGUUACAAACAAAGGCAUCACACUGCCUGAAGUGGAGAGUGCGUCCAUUGUUUCAGAAAGCGAGAAACCUAUUAUCUCUGCAGUAGAGACAGUGGAGAGUCCCUCAACCAUUUCAGAAAACAAGGAACUUACACCUUCAGCAGUGAAGGACAAGGAUGUCUACAUAGUUUCAGAAUGCAAGAAAACUACCCCCUGUGCAGUGGAGACUAACUACAAUGAGGAUGUCACCAUUGUUUCAGAAAGCACCGUCAGCAGUGGAGAAUGCCUCUAUCAUUUCAGAAAGUUUGUCACAUGAGGGCCAUCGCCUGUGGAUCGGUAACAUCGAUCCCAAAAUCACAGAGUACUACCUGGUGAAGCUGCUGGAGAGGUUUGGGAAAGUGAAACAGUUUGACUUCCUGUUCCACAAGUCUGGACCAAUGGAGGGCCAGCCCCGAGGAUACUGCUUUGUUAACUUACACACCAAAGAGGAAGCAGAGCGGGCGAUCCAUUGUCUAAAUGGGAAGCUGGCCCUCUCCAAGAAGCUGGUGGUGCGCACACGCACACGCACAGGUAAAGUCACCUUGACCAAGGCCAUGUACUGGAGAUCCCCUUCAGCUUUGUCUUUAACCGAGGGAUACCAGACAAACAGUGACACGCUACCUGCCUGCUCCAUGGUGCGACUGAGCUAAACGGGCUCCGCUCUGGUUACCUGGUCCAACCAUGGUGCGACAAGGUUUGAGGGUUUCCGAGGGGAUAAGAAUGGUCCUGCCAGCCUAGUGCCAUCGUGCAGUGCAGUGCAGUGCAGAGCUAGACUUACCAACCAGUCUUAGUACAAGUGCGACGAUCCAUGCGAUUGAGGCCAAGCUUCAGAUGAUGGAGAACCCAGAUGGAGAGGAGUACCAGGGCCACUCAACCUACAUGUACAACAAGCCCCCAGAGAAACACCUACAGCCCUACAGCAGACCCUUCCUCAAGUUCAGGAGAUGACACAAAUGAGAUGGAGACAGACCAUCCAACACCUAGGCUCGAACAAUUCCGGUAACUUUCCCAAAAUGUCCAGGUUUUGCAGAAAUCCCAGUUUGAAGAUUCCCAGUAUCAGAAGGGAAUAAGCAGGAAAUCCAGAAUCCUCCAACCAGAAUUUGUGGAAAAUCUGGUAAUUUUGGUAAAGUUACUAGAAUUUUAGUCAAGUUACUGGAAUUGUGGUCAAGUUACUGGAAUUGUGGUCAAGUUGCUGGAAGUGUGGUCAAGUUACUGGAAGUGUGGUCAAGUUACUGGAAGUGUGGUCAAGUUACUGGAAGUGUGGUCAAGUUACUGGAAGUGUGGUCAAGUUACUGGAAGUGUGGUCAAGUUACUGGAAGUGUGGUCAAGUUACUGGAAUUGUGGUCAAGUUACUGGAAUUGUGGUCAAGUUACUGGAAGUGUGGGCAAGUUACUGGAAUUGUGGGCAAGUUACUGGAAGUGUGAAUAUUGUCUAACUGUUAAGUUAUUAUUCCACUUUGGCACUCAGGCUACUUCCACUAGUCUGUUUGGACUAUCAUGUUUGGCUUGGUAAUGACUGCAGUUGGCAAGAGCACAAACAGAUCUGGGACCAGGCUACAGUGGGAGAGGUCAGGCCACCAAACCAAAACCUCUGUACUGUAUGGCUUCAGGUUUGGACAGACAGCACGACAAGCCAUUUGACAGGUGAAAGCCUCACACUGUCUGCUUUAUUUUGAGCUAGUGUGUAUUCUUACUUGGGAGAGGAGGGAUUUUUUAUUUGAGUUGUUUUUCUAACGGCUAUAUAUUUUAUGAUGUGUACAAUAUCACACCUUCAAUUUAUCUUACUGUUGUUUAUUUUUGUCAUUGUAAUGUUUAAUUUCUCUCUUUGCUGUUUAGUGUUGGGAGUUUGACAUUAUUAGCUUUAAUAAUUACCAAUUUUCCAGGGCACGUCGUCACAAAGCGUCUCAGAGAAGGAGUGCUGAUCUAGGAUCAGGUCCCUUCUCUUAUUCAUUAUGAUUAUGAUGUAGAAGGGAAGCCUAGAUCAGCACUCCUACUCUGAGAUGCUUGGUGAAUAUGGGCCCUGAUUUAGUGGAUCAUAUAAUGUUUCCUAUACAUGCUCAGUCUGAGUCCCUUAUUCAGCAUGUUAUGUUGGUCUGUAGUCACAAAAGGGAAGACAUGGCAUAAAAUUGUGUCUUUUGAAAACUGAGUAGUUGUCACCUUUUCUGUGUUUCUUGUGAUCAAAAGUCAUGAACAUGUAUUUAAUUCAUGUUUGUUUGAGUGUGAUUUGAUGGCAACUUUGUACAAUUGGAACUAUUUUUAUUCAUGCUAUGACACCCAGUAAACCAAGAAACUACAUUGUCACUCAACUCAUGCAUGGUUCCUUCAUUAAAUAGUAUUUUUUAAAUUGUA